rnacentral:rRNA from 1 species
CACUUCUAAGGAAGGCAGCAGGCGCGCAAAUUACCCAAUCCUGACUCAGGGAGGUAGUGACAAGAAAUAACAAUAAACCGGCUUAUGCCGGUUUAAUUGGAAUGAGUACAAUUUAAACAUCUUAACGAGGAACAAUUGGAGGGCAAGUCUGGUGCCAGCAGCCGCGGUAAUUCCAGCUCCAAUAGCGUAUACUAAAGUUGUUGCAGUUAAAAAGCUCGUAGUUGGAUUUCUGUGGGGACGGAGCGGCCGGCCGCAACACGCGGUUCGAGCUAGCGCUUUCCCUACAUCCUGCCGCGAACCGUGCUACCAUUAGUUUGGUGGCGCCGGGGAUCGGCUCGAUUACUUUGAGAAAAAUAGAGUGUUCAAAGCAGGCCACACGCCUUGAAUAAGUUAGCAUGGAAUAAUAACUAAGGACUUCGGUUCUAUUUUGUUGGUGUUCGGGACUGAAGUAAUGAUUGAUAGGGACAGUUGGGGCGGUCUGUAUUCCAAAGCGAGAGGUGAAAUUCUUAGACCUUCGGAAGACAAACAGCUGCGAAAGCGUUCCGCAAGGAUGUUCCCUUUGAUCAAGAACGAAAGUUGGGGGAUCGAAGACGAUCAGAUACCGUCGUAGUCUCAACUAUAAACUAUACCAGCUAGGGAUCGGCCAACGUUAUUUCAUACCGACUUGGUCGGCACCUUAUGAGAAAUCAAAGCAUCUGGGUUCCGGGGGGAGUAUGGUCGCAAGGCUGAAACUUAAAGGAAUUGACGGAAGGGCACCACCAGCCGUGGAGCCUGUGGCUUAAUUUGACUCAACACGGGAAAACUUACCAGGUCCAGACAUAGUAAGGAUUGACAGAUUGAUAGCUCUUUCUUGAUUCUGUGGGUGGUGGUGCAUGGCCGUUCUUAGUUGGUGGAGUGAUUUGUCUGGUUAAUUCCGUUAACGAACGAGACCCCAGCCUGCUAAAUAGCGCGCGUGAGCUUUGCUCGCGGCGAGCUUCUUAGAGGGACUCUGAUGCGCGAUAGCACAUGGAAGUUUGGGGCAAUAACAGGUCUGUGAUGCCCUUAGAUGUUCUGGGCCGCACACGGGCUACACUGGCGCCUGCAACGAGCAUAUCAGCUGGCCCGAGAGGGUCUUGGCUAAUCUUUUGAACCGGCGCCGUGCUUGGGAUUGACCUUUGCAAUUGUUGGUCAUGCAACGAGGAAUGCCUUGUAAACGCGAGUCAUCAGCUCGCAUUGAAUACGUCCCUGCCCUUUGUACACACCGCCCGUCGCUCCUACCGAUGAAUGUUCCGAUGAAAUUUUCGGAGAGCACCUGUGAACUCGGCUCUGCCUUGCGAACGGGAGGCUCAAAGUCACUUAAAUCUGAACAUUUCGAGG